rnacentral:misc_RNA from 1 species
GAAUUUUUAUAUGGUGAAAAAAAAAAUUCAUCAACCAAUACGUGUAUUUGUUUACAGACACAAAAUGCAUCAUAUUUUGAAACGAACAAAUGCAACUCAAAAACACAUUUGCUAAAGUGUACAUAUAACUGUAUACCAUUGUUAACUAAAACUACAAAGUCAGUCCACAUUGUUUCCAAAUUAAUUGUGGUCGUUGUGACAUCUUUUGAGUUUUGUUCACGUGUAUA